UAACACAAAUAUAUUUAUUGCACCUCGCGGUACAGUAAAACGUAACCGCGAGAGAAGCAGGGAGCGCUUGCUCAUCUCUGUUAACUCGCUCGAGGCUAUUAACAAGGGGUCGGUCGGUCCGUCAAGUCUCCGCUCAUCUUGGGUUUCAGUGACACGCAUGCGCACUAACAGGUCUCUGGAAUCUGAUGCAGCUCGCAGCACAGGCUGAGUCGCUGCCUUGGAAACGCCACACAUGCGGAGCACGAACUGGGGACCCAGAUUUCAGAGGCUUCUUCCUCCACUCUUCUCCUCCAUCCAUUCCUCCCAUCAGCAGUCAACUGGGCGGCUGUGCCACCACUGAUAUGGACCCGCGGAAAUGCAGACAAGGCUGAAAAAGACAAGAGUGAAAAAGAAGAAAAUAACUUGAAGCGGCGCACAGGCAGGUAAACCAUGCCCUUGGUAAAACGCAGUAUAGAGCCUAGACAUCUGUGUCGAGGUGCAGUACCUGAUGGAGUCACCAGUGAACUGGAGUGUGUUACCAAUAGCACCCUCGCUGCCAUCAUCAAACAGCUUGGUAGCCUCAGUAAGUCGUCAUGCGGAGGACAUCUUUGGAGAGCUGUUCAAUGAAGCCAACAGCUUCUACAUGAGAAUGAACAACCUACAGGAGAGAGUAGACAUACUGGCUGUCAAAGUCACACAGCUAGACUCCACCGUGGAAGAAGUCUCUCUGCAGGACAUCAACAUGCGUAAAGCGUUUAAGAGCAGCACCAUCCAAGACCAACAGGUGGUCUCACGGACCUCAGUCCCCAACCCUGUGGUAGAGAUGUACCAUCGCUGUGACAAACCUCCACCGCUCAACAUACUCAGUACCUAUAGGGAUGAUAAGAAGGAUGCGUUGAAGUUCUACACAGACCCCUCCUACUUCUUCAUGCUGUGGAAAGAAAAGAUGCUGCAGGCCACGGAGGACAAGAGGAAGGAGAAGAGACGACAGAAGACCAGCUGUCCGACCCACUCUGACCAGGGUAGACCCCACAGCAGACAGGCUCCACCUCGCAGCCCACUACCCAGCUCCGAGCAGCACAAACAGGUAGAGGACCCGGGAAGGGAGGUGAAGAAGGUUCGUAAAGCCCGUAAUCGCAGACAGGAGUGGAAUAUGAUGGCUUAUGACAAGGAGUUCCGCCCCGAUACCAGACUAACCCCCUCACCCUAUCACGGAAUGUCCGAGGGGUCGCUAUCACCCGAUAACAGGUCUGUGGCAUCAGACAUGGGCGAGCUCUCCUACCCGUCCAGCCCUAACCAGCCCUCCCAGCCCCCCUCCGCCCCCCACCCCAUCGACGGUGUCCCCCACCUCACCCAGACACCACAGACCCAGUCCUUAGACAGGGGUGGGUACCCCCGACCUAAUCUCCCCUCUGGUGUAGUCGCUGGGGGAAGACAUAUCGCCUCUCUGGGGCGCACUCAGCUCCCCCACGCACCCCCCGCCUCCUCUGAGGGGGGAGCACUCAAUGGGCCACGGCAGCAGUCUGUCAAGGACUACAGGGCAUAUGGCGGCCAGCCAUCAGCCAUCCCCGAGUACUUCACCCCCUGCCCCUCCUCCUCCCCCACCCCUCAUCCCGUCCACCCAGACUGCCUUCGACUCCACCUCCUCCUUCCCCAUUCUCCCCCCCGGGGCCGUGGCGGUCAUGUCCCGCCCUUACAGUCCCUCCCCUACACCCCCCGCCCCCCCUGUCAACUAUAUCCCCUCCCCCUCUCACACCCCCUCCGGUGCCCCUCCCGCUGCCCCUCCUCCUCCCCCACCUGGUCUACCCCCCUCCCAUAUCCUGCCUCUGGUUCACGCCAUUGGUGGAGAAGCUCCUGCCACCAGGAAGGGCCAGAUGCCGAUGAUUCCGAUAAGCGACGCUCGCAGCGACCUGUUGGCUGCCAUACGUAGAGGUGUGCUUCCAAUCAGCAAUGCUCGCAGUGAACUGCUGGCAGCAAUACGCAGAGGUAUCCAGUUGAGGAAGGUCCAGGAACAGAGAGAGCAGGAAGCAAAGAGAGAGCCAGUUGGAAACGACGUGGCCACCAUCCUAUCACGUCGCAUCGCCGUUGAGUACAGUGAAUCAGAUUCCGACUCCGGCGGGGAGGACAACGGGG